rnacentral:tRNA from 1 species
CAAAAUGUAGCUUAAUAAAAGCCCCUUGUUUACACCAAGACCCUGUCUGUCAAACUCAGAUCAUUUUGAG